GACGAACGCUGGCGGCGUGCUUAACACAUGCAAGUCGAACGGAAAGGCCCUGCUUUUGUGGGGUGCUCGAGUGGCGAACGGGUGAGUAACACGUGAGUAACCUGCCCUUGACUUUGGGAUAACUUCAGGAAACUGGGGCUAAUACCGGAUAGGAGCUCCUGCUGCAUGGUGGGGGUUGGAAAGUUUCGGCGGUUGGGGAUGGACUCGCGGCUUAUCAGCUUGUUGGUGGGGUAGUGGCUUACCAAGGCGUUGACGGGUAGCCGGCCUGAGAGGGUGACCGGCCACAUUGGGACUGAGAUACGGCCCAGACUCCUACGGGAGGCAGCAGUGGGGAGUAUUGCACAAUGGGCGGAAGCCUGAUGCAGCAACGCCGCGUGCGGGAUGACGGCCUUCGGGUUGUAAACCGCUUUCGCCUGUGACGAAGCGUGAGUGACGGUAAUGGGUAAAGAAGCACCGGCUAACUACGUG
rnacentral:rRNA from 1 species